rnacentral:rRNA from 1 species
UACGUAGGGUGCAAGCGUUGUCCGGAAUUAUUGGGCGUAAAGAGCUCGUAGGCGGUUUUGUUGCGUCGGCUGUGAAAUCCCGAGGCUCAACCUCGGGUCUGCAGUCGAUACGAGCAAACUAGAGUGUUGCAGGGGGAGACUGGAAUUCCAGGUGUAGCGGUGAAAUGCGUAGAUAUCUGGAGGAACACCGGUGGCGAAGGCGGCAUCCUGGACCGGUAUUGACGCUGAGGCGCGAAAGCUAGGGGAGCAAACGGG